rnacentral:lncRNA from 1 species
AGGCCUUCACUGCUUGCCUCUGGAAUAGAAUUUGGUUUUGGUGAUUCAAGCUGGGGAUUAAGAGCCAGAAGUGCUGGCUUCCAGCCUGUUUUCCAACCACAGCGUAGCCAUCAGUUUCCCCAGCUUUCUUGCCUUAAGUUUCCCCAUGCAGGGGAGGGGAGUGAGGACGAUUACCCAGCAGUGAGCCUUACCCCGUGCUCUGGGGUCUCUGUAUCAGCACUCUGUGUCACUGUGCUGGAUUGUUACAGAGUCUUUUCCACCUCUGAGCAUCCUCUGACCCCUCAGAUGGCCAAGGGAGAUGAUCCCAUGUUUUCCCCUGGACCACCCCAUUGCCUCCUCACUGAGAGAGCCAUGCAGGGUCUGCUUCUCACCAGAGUGCCAAGGCCAAGCUCCUCAUCUCUGCCCUUGCCUUUGCCUUGCUCUGCACUCAUGUGCCCUGGAACCUCCAAAGGACAAGAAAAGAAUGCUUUUCUGCAUGCAAGUAACCCAGGAAGCUUCUACAGUUAACAAAAGGAGCCGAGUGUAAAGAAGAGGGGAAAAAAGGAAUCCUGAUUUUGCUCCACGCUCUGCUACUGCUCUUUCUCUUUGGGAAAAGGUCAUCAUGAAGAGUCCCCUCCUGCCCAGGCUCCCUUCAUGGAUCACCCAUUGGGAAAGGAUUUCUUGCCCAGCUUAGUGGGCCCAGUGCCUUUGCAAUUUUAGGUACUACUGCAAAUCGAGUAACAGCAGAGGAAAAGCACUGAUAGAAGACAGAUUGAAGAUCAAAAGUCCCUUGUGUCCUGAAGCAAACUUCCUAGUCCAUUUGUCAAUGCAGGAUCUUUGAUAAGGCAUUUCAGCAGUUUCCUUCCUAUGAAAACCUGCUCUCGGUGCUGCAACCCAAUGCAGUGAGCAGGGUCCUGGGCUCCCCAGGCUGAGCAGCAGUGCCCUGGGAGCCUUCUGUCCUCACCAUCUUUCUUUCAGAUAACAUAAAGCCAAGAGGAUCAGCUUUUCUGAUCUAGUUUCUCUUCCUAGUCUUAUUUAUUUGUUAUUAAUUUUUUAGUCCGGUUAAAAGGUUUACUAUCCAGAGGAGCAUAAGUAGCCUCACUCAGCCUAAGUAACUCUAUAAAUCAAGCAGAACUGCUAACAUCUACAUCACAAUCCUGCCAUCAAUCUCCCCACAGGUUGUGAAG